rnacentral:rRNA from 1 species
GAUGAACGUUGGCGGUGUGCCUUAUGCAUGCAAGUCGAACGGGGAUAUGACUUUCGGGUUAUAUUCUAGUGGCGAACGGCUGAGUAACGCGUAAGUAACCUACCCUCGAGUGGGGAAUAACUUGUCGAAAGGCAAGCUAAUACCGCAUGAUAUGAACCGAAAGGUAUGUUUGGUUACCAAAGUCUUCGGAUGCCUUGAAGAGGGGCUUGCGUCUGAUUAGCUAGUUGGUGAGGUAAUGGCUCACCAAGGCGAUGAGCAGUAGCUGGUCUGAGAGGAUGGUCAGCCAGAUAGGGACUGAGACACGGCCCUGACUCCUACGGGAGGCAGCAGCAGGGAAUAUUGGACAAUGGGCGAAAGCCUGAUCCAGCGACACCGCGUGAGGGAAGAAGGCCUUCGGGUUGUAAACCUCUUUUCUCUGGGAAGAAUAAUUGACGGUACCAGAGGAAUAAGCCUCGGCUAAUUACGUGCCAGCAGCCGCGGUAAAACGUGGGAGGCGAACAUUAUCCGGAUUUACUGGGCGUAAAGGGAGUGUAGGCGGUUCUUUAAGUCAGGUGUGAAAUUUCUUGACUCAAUCAAGAAAAGUCAUUUGAAACUGAGGGACUUGAGGGCGGCAGAAGGAAACGGAAUUCCCGGUGUAGCGGUGAAAUGCGUUGAUACCGGGAAGAACACCAGUGGCGAAGGCGGUUUCCUAGGCUGUUUCUGACGCUGAGACUCGAAAGCGUGGGGAGCGAAGCGGAUUAGAUACCCGCGUAGUCCACGCCGUAAACGGUGGACACUAGAUAUGGGGAGUAUCGACCCUCCUCGUGUCGAAGCUAACGCUUUAAGUGUCCCGCCUGGGGACUACGACCGCAAGGUUA